ensembl:lncRNA
AUGGACGCCGCCGGAGCACAGUGGAGCCUUGUCUUGGCUGGGGCCUUAGGUGYUGCAGUACUACGGUCAGGAAGAAAAGAGAAGCGGAGUGCAGGGUGCCAGAGCGUUCUCAGGAACAGUGAUGGAUGUGUUUCCAAUAACUCGAUAGCACACCGGACCGCAGGAGAAUGUGAUGGAGAACAGCAGCUGAGGAAGGAAAGGCCGUUGCAGCAGAUAGUUGGGGAGCCACAUGCUGAAGCAGAAGAGUUUCCCAGCCGGAUGCAUCUCACAGAUCCCCAGACAGCUGACGUUCCCAGGAAGGGCAAGUCCCGCUGCGUUCUGGGGCAGGGCUGUCAGGAUGUGGGAAGAGCCAGCCUUCGGAAGAAUUGCUGCUUAUCUUCCCUCCACCAAGACGCUGAAGCCCAGCACGACAAACUGUUAUGUCUGCCUUGGAUUGGUGACAUCGAGAACGAUACGUGCUGGAUCACCAGAACAGAGUGGGAGCAGCACAGCUUGGCUUCGGGAGCCUAA